CGUCACACUAUCAUUAACUGAAUCCAUAGGUUAAUGAGGCGAACCGGGGGAACUGAAACAUCUAAGUACCCCGAGGAAAAGAAAUCAACCGAGAUUCCCCCAGUAGCGGCGAGCGAACGGGGAGGAGCCCAGAGCCUGAAUCAGCAUGUGUGUUAGUGGAAGCGUCUGGAAAGGCGCGCGAUACAGGGUGACAGCCCCGUACACAAAAGCGCAUGUGCUGUGAGCUCGAUGAGUAGGGCGGGACACGUGGUAUCCUGUCUGAAUAUGGGGGGACCAUCCUCCAAGGCUAAAUACUCCUGACUGACCGAUAGUGAACCAGUACCGUGAGGGAAAGGCGAAAAGAACCCCGGCGAGGGGAGUGAAAAAGAACCUGAAACCGUGUACGUACAAGCAGUGGGAGCCCCACCACCAAAGCAUUUGCUGUACCGCGUUGACGGAGCGAAGCGACGUCAAACCGAUAAAACAGCAGUGUAAAGUGAGCCGCAGGGCGCUUUGCGCGACAGCGCAAAGGCAGGCGGUUUCGCGUAGCGAAAGCGAAUGCUUUGGGGUGGGGUGACUGCGUACCUUUUGUAUAAUGGGUCAGCGACUUAUAUUCUGUAGCAAGGUUAACCGAAUAGGGGAGCCGGAGGGAAACCGAGUCUUAAUUGGGCGUUAAGUUGCAGGGUAUAGACCCGAAACCCGGUGAUCUAGCCAUGGGCAGGUUGAAGGUUGGGUAACACUAACUGGAGGACCGAACCGACUAAUGUUGAAAAAUUAGCGGAUGACCUGUGGCUGGGGGUGAAAGGCCAAUCAAACCGGGAGAUAGCUGGUUCUCCCCGAAAGCUAUUUAGGUAGCGCCUCGUGAAUUCAUCUCCGGGGGUAGAGCACUGUUUCGGCUAGGGGGCCAUCCCGGCUUACCAACCCGAUGCAAACUGCGAAUACCGGAGAAUGUUAUCACGGGAGACACACGGCGGGUGCUAACGUCCGUCGUGAAGAGGGAAACAACCCAGACCGCCAGCUAAGGUCCCAAAGUCAUGGUUAAGUGGGAAACGAUGUGGGAAGGCCCAGACAGCCAGGAUGUUGGCUUAGAAGCAGCCAUCAUUUAAAGAAAGCGUAAUAGCUCACUGGUCGAGUCGGCCUGCGCGGAAGAUGUAACGGGGCUAAACCAUGCACCGAAGCUGCGGCAGCGACGCUUAUGCGUUGUUGGGUAGGGGAGCGUUCUGUAAGCCUGCGAAGGUGGCCUGUGAGGGUUGCUGGAGGUAUCAGAAGUGCGAAUGCUGACAUAAGUAACGAUAAAGCGGGUGAAAAGCCCGCUCGCCGGAAGACCAAGGGUUCCUGUCCAACGUUAAUCGGGGCAGGGUGAGUCGACCCCUAAGGCGAGGCCGAAAGGCGUAGUCGAUGGGAAACGGGUUAAUAUUCCCGUACUUGGUGUUACUGCGAAGGGGGGACGGAGAAGGCUAUGUUGGCCGGGCGACGGUUGUCCCGGUUUAAGCGUGUAGGUGUGUGUUCCAGGUAAAUCCGGUUCACUUUAACACUGAGGCGUGACGACGAGGCACUACGGUGCUGAAGCAACAAAUGCCCUGCUUCCAGGAAAAGCCUCUAAGCAUCAGGUAACAUCAAAUCGUACCCCAAACCGACACAGGUGGUCAGGUAGAGAAUACCAAGGCGCUUGAGAGAACUCGGGUGAAGGAACUAGGCAAAAUGGUGCCGUAACUUCGGGAGAAGGCACGCUGACACGUAGGUGAAGUGAUUUACUCAUGGAGCUGAAGUCAGUCGAAGAUACCAGCUGGCUGCAACUGUUUAUUAAAAACACAGCACUGUGCAAACACGAAAGUGGACGUAUACGGUGUGACGCCUGCCCGGUGCCGGAAGGUUAAUUGAUGGGGUCAGCGCAAGCGAAGCUCCUGAUCGAAGCCCCGGUAAACGGCGGCCGUAACUAUAACGGUCCUAAGGUAGCGAAAUUCCUUGUCGGGUAAGUUCCGACCUGCACGAAUGGCGUAAUGAUGGCCAGGCUGUCUCCACCCGAGACUCAGUGAAAUUGAACUCGCUGUGAAGAUGCAGUGUACCCGCGGCAAGACGGAAAGACCCCGUGAACCUUUACUAUAGCUUGACACUGAACAUUGAGCCUUGAUGUGUAGGAUAGGUGGGAGGCUUUGAAGUGUGGACGCCAGUCUGCAUGGAGCCGACCUUGAAAUACCACCCUUUAAUGUUUGAUGUUCUAACGUGGACCCGUUACCCGGGUUGCGGACAGUGUCUGGUGGGUAGUUUGACUGGGGCGGUCUCCUCCUAAAGAGUAACGGAGGAGCACGAAGGUUGGCUAAUCCUGGUCGGACAUCAGGAGGUUAGUGCAAUGGCAUAAGCCAGCUUGACUGCGAGCGUGACGGCGCGAGCAGGUGCGAAAGCAGGUCAUAGUGAUCCGGUGGUUCUGAAUGGAAGGGCCAUCGCUCAACGGAUAAAAGGUACUCCGGGGAUAACAGGCUGAUACCGCCCAAGAGUUCAUAUCGACGGCGGUGUUUGGCACCUCGAUGUCGGCUCAUCACAUCCUGGGGCUGAAGUAGGUCCCAAGGGUAUGGCUGUUCGCCAUUUAAAGUGGUACGCGAGCUGGGUUUAGAACGUCGUGAGACAGUUCGGUCCCUAUCUGCCGUGGGCGCUGGAGAACUGAGGGGGGCUGCUCCUAGUACGAGAGGACCGGAGUGGACGCAUCACUGGUGUUCGGGUUGUCAUGCCAAUGGCACUGCCCGGUAGCUAAAUGCGGAAGAGAUAAGUGCUGAAAGCAUCUAAGCACGAAACUUGCCCCGAG
rnacentral:rRNA from 1 species